UACGAAGGGGGCUAGCGUUGUUCGGAUUUACUGGGCGUAAAGCGCACGUAGGCGGAUCGUUAAGUCGGGGGUGAAAUCCUGGAGCUCAACUCCAGAACUGCCUUCGAUACUGGCGAUCUUGAGUCCGGAAGAGGUGAGUGGAACUCCUAGUGUAGAGGUGGAAUUCGUAGAUAUUAGGAAGAACACCAGUGGCGAAGGCGGCCCCCUGGGAUAACACUGACGCUCAUGCACGAAAGCGUGGGGAGCAAACAGG
rnacentral:rRNA from 1 species